GGUAGGAUCGUGACCGUUCUUUACCACAUAGUUUCUUACAGCUAUGAAACUCUGCGCUUUGUCCGUAGGCAGAUUCGUUCGCUGCUGUGCUGUGGCUGCGCCCUGUUGUACGGGGCCACUUGCGACAGUGAAUGGCACUGAAGGCAGCAGCGAAGUCUUCGAGAAAGAGGAAGUUCACCGGUCGGUACUGCUGCGUCGUCGGCUGCCACAACGUCGAACGCCGAGACGCGCCGACGUUCUACCGAUUCCCGGGCAAGUGGUACGAGCGGGAGCGGCGGCGGGCCUGGACCGAAGCAGUCCGCAGAGUCAACCCCGAUGGCACUCCGUGGGAGCCGAGGGAAAACACACGGAUCUGCAGCGAGCACUUUGUCGGCAAACGGAAGAGCGACAUAAUCCAUCACCCGGCAUACAUCCCAACCAUCUUCCCGCCUGUGUACAACAGGGAAGUACAUAAACCGGAACAGACUGAAAGUGCAGAUUGGAUCCACAUCCUGAUGAAUGGCAACAUCCUGUGGGCUGCUGCAAAGUGACGCCAAUCGGACAAGGGACGUGUGCUCACGGUAGCGGGUGCCACAGAAAGCGAUGCAUGAGCCACAAAUUAUUCACCAUCACUUGCAAGUUUCGGAAACAUGCUGGAGUCCCGUCACCCAGCAACUCUCUUGGCCGGCGAUCUCCCAAAUGUGCGGUGACGAUUGCGACGAGGGUUCCUCCUUUGGCACUGGCUGAUGCUGCCUGCCAGACAUACUGUUCCCCUGAAGGCACACUCACGAUCCUGCUUUCAGCAACAGAUGGCACCCAAGCAUCAACGCAAGUCAAUCACACAGUACACAAUGAUAAGGUUGCCAGCACGGACAACGGUUAACCAAGUUGCAGCAGCUUUCUGGAAGCCCAGCUUACCUGACCAAGAAGUGCAGAUUGCUUUGUGACCUGUCAGAUGACUAUGAUAAUGAUACGCGGUGUUUAAUGAUGCAAGAGCUACUGCAUCUGUCCCGAGAGCAGCAAAUUAUCUGGCACCAUGCUGCCCAAUGCCAUGUCUCAUUUCGUUGCAAAGGCAUCAUGCAGUGUGACAGAAGAAAAAUUGUUUGCGUUUUGCUUUUCUGGUUUGGUGCAACUUGUAAGUGCUGUGCACUUGAUUUAUAAUGCAACUGCUUUGCCAUGUGCAAUGUUUGUUAUAAAUGUAUAUUCAUAGCACUCAAAACAGUGGUGAGACAAAUUUAAUUUUGGCCAUAACACAUCCAUGUUCAUAUGUGGAUGCAAGGGUGAUGUCUGGAUGUCCUGAAACCCCUCCGCUUGAAGUUUGUGUGUGCAGUACCAGCAUGCAGCACUUGACAGGUUCCAAAAGUCCUUCUCCCAACUAGCUGUCGGGAUGCUCACAGGGAUGUUAAUAAAUACUUUAUUAUUAUUAUCAUUAGUAGCAGUAUUGCUCAUAAGCACUUGUGCAAUUAUCACGUCAUUAUUGAUAAUCUCAGACACCCUGCUUCCCUUUUUCUCUGAAACGAAAAAAAAAGGAGCCUGGAUAUGCACCUGCUGAUGCCUGUUUAUCAAGAUUACAGUGUGCUGCCAAAAAAUGUAUCCUAUGUGUUUUAAAAUAUGUCUGUUUGGCAUGUCGAAUGCAUAGCUUGCUGAGAAAUUUUACCAUAUCGUAAAAGCAUUUCAGUAGUACUACUUGGGUGGCUAUGGAUAUGGGUUGGCCAUGGCGAUUUGAGAGACGACUAGAUUUAUGCAAUAAAUUAUUUAUUUACAUGCAUGACAGGCUUACAACUGGUGUAUUAAAUGGGCCCUGUAACAUUUUUUGAACAAAUCUUAAAAUGC